AGCCUAGGUCGGAUUAGCUAGUUGGUGAGGUAAUGGCUCACCAAGGCGACGAUCCGUAACUGGUCUGAGAGGAUGAUCAGUCACACUGGAACUGAGACACGGUCCAGACUCCUACGGGAGGCAGCAGUGGGGAAUAUUGGACAAUGGGCGAAAGCCUGAUCCAGCCAUGCCGCGUGUGUGAAGAAGGUCUUCGGAUUGUAAAGCACUUUAAGUUGGGAGGAAGGGUUGUAGAUUAAUACUCUGCAAUUUUGACGUUACCGACAGAAUAAGCACCGGCUAACUCUGUGCCAGCAGCCGCGGUAAUACAGAGGGUGCAAGCGUUAAUCGGAAUUACUGGGCGUAAAGCGCGCGUAGGUGGUUUGUUAAGUUGGAUGUGAAAGCCCCGGGCUCAACCUGGGAACUGCAUCCAAAACUGGCAAGCUAGAGUACGGUAGAGGGUGGUGGAAUUUCCUGUGUAGCGGUGAAAUGCGUAGAUAUAGGAAGGAACACCAGUGGCGAAGGCGACCACCUGGACUGAUACUGACACUGAGGUGCGAAAGCGUGGGGAGCAAACAGGAUUAGAUACCCUGGUAGUCCACGCCGUAAACGAUGUCAACUAGCCGUUGGAAUCCUUGAGAUUUUAGUGGCGCAGCUAACGCAUUAAGUUGACCGCCUGGGGAGUACGGCCGCAAGGUUAAAACUCAAAUGAAUUGACGGGGGCCCGCACAAGCGGUGGAGCAUGUGGUUUAAUUCGAAGCAACGCGAAGAACCUUACCUGGCCUUGACAUGCUGAGAACUUUCCAGAGAUGGAUUGGUGCCUUCGGGAACUCAGACACAGGUGCUGCAUGGCUGUCGUCAGCUCGUGUCGGGAGAUGUUGGGUUAAGUCCCGUAACGAGCGCAACCCUUGUCCUUAGUUACCAGCACGUUAUGGUGGGAACUCUAAGGAGACUGCCGGUGACAACCCGGAGGAAGGGGGGGGAAAACGUCAAGUCAUCAUGGCCCUUACGGCCAGGGCUACACACGUGCUACAAUGGUCGGUACAAAGGGUUG
rnacentral:rRNA from 1 species